rnacentral:rRNA from 1 species
GAGAGACUGAUCGGCCACAUUGGGACUGAGACACGGCCCAAACUCCUACGGGAGGCAGCAGUAGGGAAUCUUCCACAAUGGACGCAAGUCUGAUGGAGCAACGCCGCGUGAGUGAAGAAGGUUUUCGGAUCGUAAAGCUCUGUUGUUGGUGAAGAAGGAUAGAGGUAGUAACUGGCCUUUAUUUGACGGUAAUCAACCAGAAAGUCACGGCUAACUACGUGCCAGCAGCCGCGGUAAUACGUAGGUGGCAAGCGUUGUCCGGAUUUAUUGGGCGUAAAGCGAGCGCAGGCGGAAAAAUAAGUCUAAUGUGAAAGCCCUCGGCUUAACCGAGGAACUGCAUCGGAAACUGUUUUUCUUGAGUGCAGAAGAGGAGAGUGGAACUCCAUGUGUAGCGGUGAAAUGCGUAGA